AGCGAACGCUGGCGGCAGGCCUAACACAUGCAAGUCGAACGAACCUUUCGGGGUUAGUGGCGGACGGGUGAGUAACACGUGGGAACGUGCCUUUAGGUUCGGAAUAACUAUGGGAAACGUGUGCUAAUACCGAAUGUGCCCUUCGGGGGAAAGAUUAAUCGCCUUUAGAGCGGCCCGCGUCUGAUUAGCUAGUUGGUUGAGGUAAUGGCUCACCAAGGCGACGAUCAGUAGCUGGUCUGAGAGGAGGAUCCGCCACAUUGGGACUGAGACACGGCCCAAACUCCUACGGGAAGCAGCAGUGGGUGAUCUUGCGCAAUGGGCGAAAGCCUGACGCAGCCAUGCCGCGUGAAUGAUGAAGGUCUUAGGAUUGUAAAAUUCUUUCACCGGUGACGAUCAUGACGGUACCCGGAGAAGAAGCCCCGGCUAACUUCGUG
rnacentral:rRNA from 1 species